rnacentral:rRNA from 1 species
AUGUCCCGCCUCCGCCACUCCACCUCCACCGCGCCGAUGUCCCGCCUCCGCCACUCCACCUCCACCGCGCCGAUGCCCCACCUCCGCCUUCUCCGCUGCCGCUCCUCCUCCAUCUCCACCUUGCCGCCGUCACGCUCAUGGUCUCCCGUCACCGCCUUUGCCGCGGCCACAGAGCGCGUCAGCGCUGGGACGCUCAGUCCGGAAGACGCACACCGCCUGUUCGACGAAUUGCUUCGGCAGGCCACUCCGGUCCCCGCGCGCUCCCUGAACGGCUUCCUCACGGCCCUCUCCCGUGCGCCGGGCACCGGCGCCUGCGGAGACGGCCCCGCCCUCGCCCUCGCCCUCUUCAACCGCACCCGCCGAGAAGAGGCCGGCUCCCGGGUGGUGCCGUCCACAAUCUUCACCUACGGCAUCCUCAUGAACUGCUGCCGCCGCACGCGUCGUCCGGAACUUGGGCUCGCCUUCUUUGGGCGCGUCCUCAGGAUGGGCCUGAGGACAAACGUGGUCGUCGCCACCACGGUCCUCCAGUGCCUCUGCGGCGCCAAACGGACAGAUGAGGCCGUGGACAUCCUGCUACAUCGGAUGUCCGAGCUCGGGUGCGUGCCUGAUGCCUUCUCAUACUCCAUUGUUCUGAAGAGCUUAUGCGAUGAUGGCAGGAGCCAGCGGGCACUCGACCUGCUCCACAUGUGGGAGAAAGAACGAGGUCUCUGCUCCCCCAACGUAGUGAUGUAUAACACGGUCAUCCACGACUUCUUUAAGGAAGGUGAAGUAAGCAAGGCAUGCAGUCUAUUCCAUGAAAUGGAGCAGAAAGGGGUUGUGCCUAAUGUGGUGACAUAUAGCUUGACCAUUGACGCGCUGUGCAAGGCCAGAGCUAUGGACAAAGCACAGUUGUUCCUCCGGCAGAUGAUUGAUAAAGGUGUUCGACCGAACAAUGUGACAUAUAAUGUCAUGAUCCAUGGAUAUUGCACUCUGGGACAGUGGAAGGAAGCACGUAAAAUGUUCAGAGAAAUGACAAGACAGGGUCUCAUACCAGAUAUUGUUACUUGGACCUCGUUCAUGGCCUCUCUUUGUAAGCAUGGAAGAACCAAAGAAGCUGCCGAAUUCUUUGAUUCCAUGACUGCCAAGGGCCACAAGCCUGAUUUGGUCAUGUAUCAUGUUCUGCUCCAUGGGUAUGCAACCAAAGGAUGCUUUGCUGAUAUGAUUAAUCUCUUUAAUUCAAUGGCAACCAAGGGUAUUGUACCCGAUCGUCAGGUUUUCAACAUUUUAAUUGAUGCACAUGCUAAACAUGGAAUGAUGGAUGAAGCUAUGCACAUAUUUACUGGAAUGCAGGGACAAGGAGUGUGUCCAGAUGUAUGGACCUAUUCAACUCUAAUAUCUGCACUUUGCAGAAUGGGUAGGCUGGCUGAUGCCAUGGAUAACUUCAGUCAGAUGAUUGGUAAGGGAGUACAACCGAACACAGUUGUUUAUCACUCCCUAAUUCAGGGUUUCUCUACACAUGGUGAUUUGAGGAAAGCAAAGGAGUUGGUUUAUGAAAUGACAAACAAAGGUAUUCCUUGUCCAAACAUUGCAUUCUUCAGUUCUGUAAUGGACGGUAUAUGCAAAGAAGGAAGGGUUAUGGAUGCACAUGAUAUCUUCCACUUGGUUACAGACAUAGGUCUGAAACCUAACAUCAUUACGUUUAAUACGCUGAUUGAUGGACAUUGCUUAGUCGGUGAGAUGGAGAAAGCAUUUGGAGUACUUGAUUCCAUGGUAUCAGCUGGCAUUGAGGCUGAUGUUUUUACAUAUAAUACACUUGCUUAUGGCUAUUGUAGAUGUGGAAGGAUUGAUGAUGGGUUGAUUCUAUUCAGAGAAAUGUUGCAAAACAAACCUAAACCCACAACAAUCACAUAUAACAUCAUACUGGAUGGGUUAUUUCGUGCUGGGAGAACAUUUGCUGCAAAGAAAAUGUUCGUUGAGAUGAUCGAAACGGGAAUAACAGUGAGCAUUUCCACAUACAGUAUAAUACUUGGAGGACUUUGUAGGAAUAAUUGCUCUGACGAAGCGAUCACCCUAUUUCAGAAAUUAGGAGCAAUGAAUGUGAAGUUUGAUAUUAAAAUACUCAAUACCAUGAUCAAUGCCAUGUUCAAGGUUCGGAGAAGAGAAGAAGCUAACGGUUUGUUUGCUGCAAUAUCAGCCAGUGGGAUGGUACCUAAUACUUCUACCUACAGCGUAAUGAUAGGAAAUCUUCUAAAAGAAGGAUCAGUGGAAGAAGCUGAAAAUAUGUUCUCAUUAAUGGAGAAGAGUGGUUGUGCUCCAGACUCUCGUCUUAUAAAUAAUAUCAUCAGAAUAUUGUUGGAAAACGGUGACAUCGUCAAGGCUGGAAAUUAUAUGUCUAAAGUUGAUGGCAAGAGCAUCUCACUUGAAGCUUCAACUACUUCGUUGUUGAUGUGUCUCUUUUCAAGUAAAGGGAAAUAUCGGGAACAAAUCAGUUUGCUCCCUGUAAAUUACCAAUUUUUCAAUGGAGUCGGUUGA